rnacentral:misc_RNA from 1 species
UACGGAGGGGGCUAGCGUUGUUCGGAAUUACUGGGCGUAAAGCGCACGUAGGCUGACUGUUAAGUCAGAGGUGAAAUCCCGGGGCUCAACCCCGGAACUGCCUUUGAUACUGGCAGUCUUGAGGUCGAGAGAGGUGAGUGGAACUCCGAGUGUAGAGGUGAAAUUCGUAGAUAUUCGGAGGAACACCAGUGGCGAAGGCGGCUCACUGGCUCGAUACCGACGCUGAGGUGCGAAAGCGUGGGGAGCAAACAGG